AGUGGACGCUGGCGGUAGGCCUAACACAUGCAAGUCGAACGGCAGCACAGAGGAGCUUGCUCCUUGGGUGGCGAGUGGCGGACGGGUGAGGAAUACAUCGGAAUCUACUUUUUCGUGGGGGAUAACGUAGGGAAACUUACGCUAAUACCGCAUACGACCUACGGGUGAAAGCAGGGGAUCUUCGGACCUUGCGCGAUUGAAUGAGCCGAUGUCGGAUUAGCUAGUUGGCGGGGUAAAGGCCCACCAAGGCGACGAUCCGUAGCUGGUCUGAGAGGAUGAUCAGCCACACUGGAACUGAGACACGGUCCAGACUCCUACGGGAGGCAGCAGUGGGGAAUAUUGGACAAUGGGCGCAAGCCUGAUCCAGCCAUACCGCGUGGGUGAAGAAGGCCUUCGGGUUGUAAAGCCCUUUUGUUGGGAAAGAAAUCCAGCCGGCUAAUACCUGGUUGGGAUGACGGUACCCAAAGAAUAAGCACCGGCUAACUUCGUGCCAGCCGCCGCGGUAACAC
rnacentral:rRNA from 1 species